AUGUCCUGAGGUGAGCAUAUCACCUCUGUUCAGGUGGCCAAAUUCAGUGUGCCACUACAAGGAAAACGCAAGGAUCACUCGGCCAGGAUGAGCCACAGGAAAAGUUUUCAGGGAUUGAGCAGGGAGCACACUGUGUAGCGGGAUAGCUAUAAAACGAACCGGGGGCACUGGUAACGCGGUGCCCCCAACUUUUAUG
rnacentral:other from 1 species